CCUACGGGUGGCAGCAGUGAGGAAUAUUGGUCAAUGGACGCGAGCCUGAACCAGCCAAGUAGCGUGAAGGAUGACUGCCCUACGGGUUGUAAACUUCUUUUAUAAGGGAAUAAAAUGAGGCACGUGUGGGUUUUUGUAUGUACUUUAUGAAUAAGGAUCGGCUAACUCCGUGCCAGCAGCCGCGGUAAUACGGAGGAUCCGAGCUUUAUCCGGAUUUAUUGGGUUUAAAGGGAGCGUAGAUGGAUUGUUAAGUCAGUUGUGAAAGUUUGCGGCUCAACCGUAAAAUUGCAGUUGAUACUGGCAGUCUUGAGUACAGUAGAGGUAGGCGGAAUUCGUGGUGUAGCGGUGAAAUGCUUAGAUAUCACGAAGAACUCCGAUUGCGAAGGCAGCUUACUAAACUGCCACUGACAUUGAUGCUCGAAAGUGUGGGUAUCAAACAGGAUUAGAUACCCCUGUAGUC
rnacentral:rRNA from 1 species